ensembl:lncRNA
AUAAAAUUCAACAAGUUCUUAAACUGUUCUAAGAACUGUUUGUAGAUAAAGCAUAGUAGAUAAAGAUAGGUGGGAAGAAACCUGAAGGAAAAUGAAAAAAUGAUAACAUUUGGAAGUCUCAAGGGAAGAAUAGAGAACAAUAAAACAACGUACUUCAAGAAACUCAGUGCAGGUCUGAAUCACUUCAGAGUGUGAGAGCUGAACAAUAAAUAAUGUGGGCAACAGAAUUUUUAUGCUUGGUGUUCUUCUUUCUCUUUUUAAGUUUAAGUUGACUUAUCCUGUUGAAAUGUACUCUACAUGACUUGGAGCAGGCUGAGGCAACUGCAGAUUCUAAACAGUAAUCUUUUAUAAUUCAUGCAAGACAGUAAGACACCAGAAGAUCAGGAAGAGUAUGUCUUUCAACAGGAUAAAGGAACUGUAAGAGGUCAUUCUUUUACGCCGUUGCCUCAAAGCUUGCUGAGGGACACAGAUGAACAAAUUCAAGCAAGUCCUGACCAAGGAUUAAGAAAACCUUCGUCUGAAGGGACAACAGAUGGACAACGCCUGGGGCAACGAGAGAGAUUCCACACGACCUGCCUCUCCCUCCCGGACUCGCUCUGUGCUCUACCUGCUUGCUGCCUAAGGAUGGCCUCUCUGCUGCUGCUCACCCCUCCGAGAAGGUGUCUGCCAUCAGAUCCCUCACUACAAAAGGCCUGCAUGCUGACUGACUCUCCAGGGCCUGCUACCGGAGACCUGCUGCUUCCGCCCAGACUUCUUCCUGGACCUACUCGGUACCUGCCUGCACCUUCUCGCUGCCUAAGACCGGCCACACCGCUGCUGCUCUUCCCCUGCGCUUUUGCCCCGGACCAUCGGAACGUCGUGCAACGGGACUACUGCCGGAUCCUGGUGAUCCUGGAUCGCUUUAAAAUGGAAAAGCCUCAAGCAGCGUUCAGCAACGUUCUCUCUCUUUUAUUAUUUACUGGAAUGGUCACUGUGAGAUCACUGCCUUUGAAGAAGAGUUAGGUAAGACAUUCACCAAAUGAGGAGAAGACUUGUAUGAAGAUCCGUAGGGCAUAUGCAACUUCAAACAUAUAUAAAAUAAGGACUGCUUUGGGAACAUAAUUGAAAAAGUAAUCUGGUAUACAUUUAGUCCUUCUCAGAGAACUUCUAACUAGGCUUCUAGUCUUCCCUCAAACAAUCCACUCUAGGAUAUCAACACAAAGGGGAAGGAAAAAGAAACAAAAAAGCUUUCCUAGUUCCUUUAACAAGCUAUGUGCAGAGAACUGAAAUACGGCCAGGGAUGUGAUUCACACUAAGACAUCCUUUCAGCCUUCUCUGCAAUGCUCCAGUCCUUGUCACUGUCUGGUUUCUCUGUCAGACAGAUUUAGUGCAAUGAACUUAAAACUCCUGGUGAAGAGACUAGACAUAAACCUUCCAGUUUGUUGCACGAUAGAAUUACUCUGUUGUAAACGAGCAAUGAAUAAAUGUACAAAAGGAAAACAUCACUUUUUGUGGGUUCAUAGAGUCUACAAUAAAAAUAUAUAGCUCCCCAGUUAUAAAAUCAAUCAAAGUUUUUCAACUGUCCCAUAUUUUUUACAUGCCUUCACAACUGUGAGCAGCUGCGUCUACAUAUGUUCCUUGAUUUUAUGCCCACAUUACAAUGGCACCAAAGCACUCCUAGCUGUGCAGGCACAUUUUUUAUCCACCCCCAGCCUUCUGUUGCGGGGACAGUAAAUGCAUUUGAUGGAAGAGGAACAGGGGUAUGAGGGUAGCACAGAGUAUGCGACACAAAGACUCUAAUGGAAGUUGGGAGGAAUAAAUCAUAUUUCCUACCAAACUAUGGCACAGUAUCCUGUAUUAAGCAUUCAGUCAAACAUACUCAAUUUGGCAGGUCUGUUUUAUGAAAAGGCUUGUUUAUCUUUCAUGACAGAGUAAAAUUUUAUAUAAUUACUUUGGUACAAAGAUCUUUUAAAUUUAUUUUUUAUAACUGAUGGCCACUUUUCUGAUAGGUGAAGUAUAGAAGAAUAUAUAUUAAUUGAUAGUACUUAAUUUGUAGACAUUGAUCUUUUAAGAGAACAGGGCAUAUGCCGUGCUGUACCUGAAGAAAAUUUCUGAGAAAGGGAGGCCUUAAUUUAAGAAAAUAAUUUGAGUAUUUAUUUAAUGUAUUAUACAAAAGCCAGCUACAAUUUUGGUCCAGCGGUAAUUCUUGACAUUUUAAAAUACUUCAUUUUUAGACUUUGGAGAAAAUUCCCUCAUUAAUACUUCUGGACAAUUAUGAACACUAAACAACAACUGGUCACUUUUCACUCUGCAUGAUGAACUCCAUUUAGAGCUGAAGGAUUUUUUCUGCUUGCAUGCAUGAUAGAAAACUUCAGGCUUUGUCUAGUUCUAUUUUAAACAACCGAUGUACUGAGGUUCUACAGAUUUCUUCCGGAAAAUAACUACAAACCAAUAAACAUGCUCGGUAGGAAAUAUUUCCCAAGUCCAGCCAUCACUAUAGCUCUCAUUCAUUGAGAAGACCAAAGAAGAGAAGGGGAAUUUGUGUAUUUUAAGCAUCAGAUAAGGAGCAAAUUUCUUUUGCACUCAAAGUUCUUGUAUGUCUCUGCACAGAGGGGCAGUGUAUACUCCACCAACGAACAUGCUCAGCCCAUAACAUUACUUGUGUGUAUACAAACAUCUUCUUCAUGUCAAACAAACAUCUUUUAGCAAGCUUAUCUAGAUGUAAAGGCAAAUCAUAAAAUUAUAGAAUGGCUUGGGGUGGAAGGGUCCCCAAGAAUCAUCAGGUUCCAACACCCUCACCACAGGCAGGGCCACCAACCUCCAGAUCUGGUAAUAGAUCAGACUAGAAUGAAUUGGGGCAGAUAAUAUCUCACUAGAUACAAGUUAGCACAGAGCAUUUACUGUAAUUGGAGCUGCUGUAAGCCAAGGAAACUUGGAAUAAUAGGAAAUGACUGUAUCCCAGCACAGGUCCAUCAUGUUGGUUCCCUGAAGGAGUAUAUUUUUGUUUCUCAACUGAAUUAAUCCACCCAUUAGGGAAUCCAUUUUUAAGGCAUUAAUGAUGCAAACACAUUCAGGUGUCUUUGCCAAUCUUCAUCGCGUGUUUAUCAUAAAAGAAAGUAUAAAUAAAAGAAAUUAAGGGAAGGAAAAAAGUGGCAGUACAAGAAUCCUAUUUAAGUUACUGCUAUUAAAUCUCAUCUCACAAGCUAAAUAGUACAGUAAUUAAAGCAGUAUUUACAAUGCAAUAAAGAUGAAGAUAAUUACUAGCAAUGUGAACUAGAUGAGGCUCCUUUUCAGGGUAACUAGUCAAGGAUCAGCCCAAAGCAGUAAAUCCUUCAACAACCUCAUUUGUCAAUUAUCUUCAUAAUCUUAUUGCUUAUAAUGAUUAUCUAAUUUUUUACUACCAAACAGGACAAAUCAUGAGGUAAAAUGACUAAGGCAAUCAAGUGAGCUGGAGUUUGUCAGCAAAACUGCAAGCAGGAUCCAGGUGAGCAGGAAAGUAUCAUAGCAGUUGGGCAGAACAUCUUAGAAAGCAGAGAUAGCUGUUUAUGGGGCUACAUAUCAGACAGGACUGUGAGUAGUUAUUAUGCAUUAAAAAUUCAUGGAGUUCUUUUCCUCAGAAUGCCUUCCUGCCAUACUUAGUAUCAUGGAUUUUUCAGCCACACUUAAAAAAUUGUAAAGGUUUUCAGAGACUGAUAAGCUAGAUGAUUCUACCAAGCAAACUGAUGGAAACUAAUUUAAGUAUAUAAUCACGUGUUCUAAAAUUAAACAUAGCACAUUGCUUUUUAAAAAACACAUCAAAUAAAGUCAGAGUUUAUAGGUUGUAACGCUAUAACGUGCUGGAAAGAACAUAACAGGGUGACAAAGUCUUUGGCUGCAACAAAUGAGGACAAGAUCAAACACAACAGCCACAAAUGCAGAGACAGAAGGAAAAAAAAAUUGCUUACCUUUGGAAGGCCUCAGCUAUGCAUGGAUCUCCAACAAGAUACCCUUGCCUCCACUGCCAACCCUUACACGAGGUCUGGGAAGGGGUGGAUCCUAGCUCCCCCGUUCUGGUCACUCAGGUGCACUGCAUACACCAGGUGCUCAAUCACUGCUUCAGGCUGUGACUUAGCAUUUUCUGCUACACAGGUGUUUCUGUGCUCUCUAAAGUAGUCCUUGACUGCAGGCAAGGAAUAAUCUUGUGGCAUGCUGAUUUUUCUGGAAUACUGGAUUCUCAAAAGUAAUUAAACAAGUUUCUUAAUGAUAGGUUCUUAAAUUAACCAGACACAGGUAAAAUCAAAGAUCAUCACACAGUUAAUUGAUUAAGCAGCAGAAAAUAAUGGGAAGGAAUGGCCAGUGUGCCAGUGGAAGGAGGUCAACCAAUUCAGUCUUUGUCAUGCAUUGCAUUCUUUGGCAUAAAUCUCCUCUGAGAGAGGGCAAAUUCUGCUUCAGAAAGCUUGCAAGUCUGAUGCUGAGUCUGUAUUGUGCAAUACAUAGUUGCCUGGCCUAGCUCUAAGUGAACUAAACUGUGGAUGGAGAAUAUUACAGUCCCAUACAGAUGUUAUCUUCAAUUCUGAAAGUAGUUUAAGUGCAUUAAUGUAGUAUUUCAAGUAGACCAGCCACUUCUGCUUUUCAGCUUACUAUCACUUGUCAAAGUGCAAUGCCAUGGCAUUUUUAUAUAGCUGUAGGUGGUGGUCUGUUGUAGUAGGUGUCUUGCGGGGGCACGGGAUGUACAGGACAGGCUUCUUCCUAAGCAUAGAGAGACAGUGCUAUCGUGCUGACCUUGAUGCAGAGAAAACAGGAGAAGAAGAAGGAUGAGAAAAGAAUGUGGAAACGGCCAAAUAAGGCACAAUGUUAUCUGGUGUGAACCAAUCAGAGUGGGACAUGACAGCACGGUUUUGUAGGUAAAAAUGUAUAUAAGCUGUGUAUUUGUAGUGAAUAAACGCCAUUUUGCUGCUCAUCAUAUUGGUGUGCGUCUGCAGUCAUUUGGCCCUGAUCAGGUAAUUGGUCAGUGAGCGCAGAGGCCUAACACAGGUGGCUAACAUCGUU